UACGUAGGGUGCAAGCGUUAAUCGGAAUUACUGGGCGUAAAGCGUGCGCAGGCGGUUUUGUAAGUUUGUCGUGAAAGCCCCGGGCUCAACCUGGGAAUUGCGAUGGAGACUGCAAGGCUUGAAUCUGGCAGAGGGGGGUAGAAUUCCACGUGUAGCAGUGAAAUGCGUAGAGAUGUGGAGGAACACCGAUGGCGAAGGCAGCCCCCUGGGUCAAGAUUGACGCUCAUGCACGAAAGCGUGGGGAGCAAACAGG
rnacentral:rRNA from 1 species